UAACGUGUAAUGUGUGUGUCCCUAAA
rnacentral:sRNA from 1 species